rnacentral:rRNA from 1 species
UACGUAGGGUGCGAGCGUUAAUCGGAAUUACUGGGCGUAAAGUGUGCGCAGGCGGUCGUUCAAGUCGAGUGUGAAAGCCCCCGGCUCAACUGGGGAGGGUCACGCGAUACUGAUCGACUCGAAGGCAGGAGAGGGUAGUGGAAUUCCCGGUGUAGUGGUGAAAUGCGUAGAUAUCGGGAGGAACACCAGUGGCGAAGGCGGCUCACUGGCCCGGUACUGACGCUGAGGUGCGAAAGCGUGGGGAGCAAACAGG